rnacentral:lncRNA from 1 species
UACGAUAUUCAUCAUAUCAUUGAUAAUGAAAAGUUACAAUGCCUACACAACAAUCCAUAUCAAGCAUGUGAGACGAAUAAAUAACUGCCCAAUAGCUGUAAAUGGAAGUUAAGAAGUCAUAUGCUCCCUAUAAUCGCUCAAAAUGUGUCUCACCCAUCCGAAAUAGGGGAAAAUACAUUUAUAUAUUUCAAAAUUUUAAUUUGACAUUUCCUAUACAUCUGAUUUGAGCUCUCUAGCAUCCAAACUUUCUUUCUCUCUCUCUCUCUCUCAAGCCCUAAUUUUCUCAAAUUCUACAAACUUAGACAAAAAUAUUUCUUUUCUAGAUCAAAUUAACGCCGCAAAGAUGUCGACCUACCAAGUCAUCUCUGGAAACCAACUAUGCUUCAAAGAGUUUUGAGGAGUUGAUACUCAAUUCAGAGCAGUGCUAAACCUGGUACAAAAGGCGAGAUUUUAUGAAGCACUGAGCACAAUCACAAGGAUCUUCUAUAAAAGAGUUGAAGAGUUCUAUCUGAAUGAGUCUUUUGCAAAUGGAGUAAUCACUUCAAAGGCCAAAGAAGGCACUCUCUAGUUCGAUGUGACGGAGAUGAACCGUCACCUAAGGUUCAUGACCGAAGGAAUCACUACCUUCGAGGACAUUAAUGACAAGUCUGGGAUCGAGCUCAUGGGAUACAAGAAGAACCCAAAGCUCACGGGAUAAAGAAAGAGUUCCCCCAGAACUAUGAGUUCCUUGCCAACAACGUCAAAAAAUGGAUUAUCUGCAAGGACUCAGCCCACGACUCUGUCAACGAGCUCCAAUUGAAGAUUAUGACAACAAUUGUGAUGGAGAAGAAAAAUUAUUUCGAAGCUAUAUUGAUGGACUGGAUCUCAAAAUGGUUCAGUGAUGUUGAAAAGAAGAAGGCAACAAGAAAGCCUUUGCCAAAAAUGUUCUUCGAAAGGUACAUCAGUAAUCUUCUGAAGAGGAGGUUGAAGAAUCUCAUUGAGGACAAGGAGGGAGAAUUAAUUAAUGUAAAUAAUAAGAUAAAGAAGAAACUCUUCUACAACUGGAAGAGGAACCCAGUUGAAAUAAUGCAGUCAUGGUAAUUAGAGGGGAGUGAAAAUAAUCUCAGUGAAGUCCAUAAGCCCGAAGCGACUAAGGCAAAGAUGAAAAUUUUUGAAAUUGAGGAAGAAACCUAUAAGUGCUCUGCAGUUCCUCAAGUUCCUGAGGCAUUAGCUUAAAUUGCUGAGAAGCCUUCUAAAAAACGAUGAAGAAGAAAGAAGAAAGAAGAAAGAAGAAAAGAAAUUCCUAUGGACUCUUAGGACGAAUCAAAUGUCCCUAAGAUGAGGGAUUUCAAUAAAGAAAAAUUUGAAGGGAAGGUGGAUGAUUCUGUCUUUCUUUCUCAGCUAGUAGUGGAAAAAAUAUCAAGGAAGUCCACUGUUAAGCCUCUUCCUAAGUCCACUAGAGAACUAGCUGAAGAUUACUGUGACGAAAUUAACAUAACACACAUAGAAGAAGCUUAUAAAGAAUGCCUAACCCUGAUUCAAUGGGAAAGGAAGUAGAUAAAGAAAGGAAGAUCUGCCAUGAUGGCCAAAUAUGGCAAGAUCAUUUCAAUUGAAGAUUCUAGAUCUGCCGAGCCGAUCAUAGAGCCUCCCAACUCUCUAAUCAUAGAGCUAGAAGCAGUAAAGAUGAUGAUAAGAAUGUUGGGAUAAAUGACAUGUCAGAGCCAUAGAAAGAAAAAGAAGAGACAGUUGUAAAGGUAUCUGAGCAUGAGCCAAAGAAAAAAAGAUUAAUAAAGGAGUCUGAGAAGAAGUUGAAGCCAACCUAGUUGAAGCUACUUCUAAAGAGGGGAAGCCUAUUCCAAGCUCUUUUGAUGAUUAUGUAGAACUAACAAGGAUUGUUAAAUCAAUUGUAGAGGACAUCGGAAGAGAGCUGGUUCUGAGCCCAACAAUGUUAUACCUCAUGGGGAGAAAUUUGAGGUUGUAUCUGAAGAUCACUCACUCCUAGAAGAAAUAAAAAUAAGACCAAUUAAUUUGGAAUUCUUGUUCCCUGGAGCUAAUGCUGAUCUUGAAGGCCUGGACAUAAGCCUUGUUACUUAUCAAAGUAAUAUAGACUUAGUGUUCUUCUUGUUUCCAAUCAUGUCUUUGUUGAAUGCUCUCAUGUUAAGGGAUCUGAGAUACAUCGCUUGGACACUCUCAUAAUUUCCUAAUGUCCAAGUCUUGUCUAAGAAUUUCCCUAGGGUCAUGAAGUUUUCCAAAAGAACUAUUUUUGAU